rnacentral:rRNA from 1 species
UACGAAGGGUGCUAGCGUUGUUCGGAAUUACUGGGCGUAAAGCGUAGGUAGGCGGUCUACCAAGUCAGAGGUGAAAUCCCGGAGCUCAACUCCGGAAUUGCCUUUGAAACUGGUAGGCUAGAGAAUGUUAGAGGCAAGUGGAAUUCCUAGUGUAGGAGUGAAAUCCGUAGAUAUUAGGAGGAACAUCAAUGGCGAAGGCAGCUUGCUGGGACAUUACUGACGCUGAGCUACGAAAGCGUGGGGAGCAAACAGGG